CAUGAAGAACUCCUCAGGGGCCGCAGUGAAGAAAACAACAGAAGCUGCACGAUGAAGCAAUCCUCAGGGCCUGGAACAAGAAAAAAACACCCAAAGUUGGAAGAUGAAGCACUUCUCAGGGGCAGCAAGGUUAAAACAACACCAAAAGCUGGACGAUGAAGCUCUCCUCAGGGGAAAAGUGCUGAAGAGAACCGCGAAAGAUGCACGAUGAAGAACUCCUCAGGGCCACGCUGAAAACAACACCAAAAGCUGCACGAUGACGUACUCCUCCAGGGUCGCAGACUGAAGAAAACACCGAAAGCUGCACCAUGAAGCUCUCCUCAGGGGCAACGUGCUCUGGAGAACCGCAAAACCUGCACGAUGCAAAACUCCUCAUGGGCCGCAGUGAGGAGAACCCCAAAACCUGAACGAUGAAGAACUCCUCGGGGCCUGGAACGAGAAAAGAAACACCAAAGGUUGGAUGAUGAAGCACUUCUCAGGGGCAACAAGAUGAAAACAAUACCAACAGAUGCACGAUGAAGUUCUCCUCAGGGAAAACACGGUGAGGAGAACCCCAAAGGUUGGACAAUGCAGAAUUCCUCGGGGCCGCAGUGAAGAAAACACCAGAAGCUGCACGAUGAAGAACUCCUCAGGGGCCACAAGGUGAAGAAAACACAAAAGAUAGACGAUAUUGCUCUCCUCACGGGAAACGUGGUGAAGAGAACCCCAAACGCUGGACGAUGAAGAACUCCUCAGGGCCGUAGAGAAGAAAACACCAAAGACUGCAAGAGGGAGAACUCCUCAGGGGAAACGUGGUAUGGGGAACGCCAAAAGCUGGACGAUGCAGAUCUCCUCAAGUAUCGCAACGUGAAGGACACACUACGAGCUGCUCAAUAAACCCCUCCUCAGGAACUGCAGUGAAGAAACACCAAAAGCUGCGCCAUGAAGAACUCCUCAGGGGCCGCAGUGAAGAAAACAACAGAAGCUGCACGAUGAAGCAAUCCUCAGGGCCUGGAACAAGAAAAAAACACCCAAAGUUGGAAGAUGAAGCACUUCUCAGGGGCAGCAAGGUUAAAACAACACCAAAAGCUGGACGAUGAAGCUCUCCUCAGGGGAAAAGUGCUGAAGAGAACCGCGAAAGAUGCACGAUGAAGAACUCCUCAGGGCCACGGUGA